rnacentral:rRNA from 1 species
CACGCCCUAAACGAUGCACACUAGUUGUUGUGAGGCUAGACCUUGCAGUAAUGCAGUUAACACAUUAAGUGUGCCGCCUGGGGAGUACGGUCGCAAGAUUAAAACUCAAAGGAAUAGACGGGGACCCGCACAAGCGGUGGAUGAUGUGGUUUAAUUCGAUGCAACGCGAAAAACCUUACCCACCUUUGACAUGGUCGGAACCCUUUAGAGAUAGAGGGGUGCUCGAAAGAGAGCCGAUACACAGGUGC